rnacentral:rRNA from 1 species
AGUUAAGUGACUAAGCGUACACGGUGGAUGCCUAGGCAAUCAGAGGCGAAGAAGGACGUGCUAAUCUGCGAAAAGCUUGGAUGAGUCGAUAAGAGGCGUUUAAUCCAAGAUGUCCGAAUGGGGAAACCCGCUAGGUGAAGAACCUAGCAUUKWCUAUUGAAUACAUAGKUAGUMAAGGCAAACCGGGAGAACUGAAACAUCUAAGUACCCCGAGGAAAAGAAAUCAACCGAGAUUCCGUAAGUAGCGGCGAGCGAAAGUGGAAGAGCCAGUAAGUUUUAGCAUCAUAUUUAGGAGAAUGAGCUGGGAAGCUCAAUCGUAGAGGGUGAUAGUCCCGUAUCCGAAAAAUCUGAUGUGGAACUAAGCUUACAACAAGUAGGGCGGGACACGAGAAAUCCUGUUUGAAGAUGGGGGGACCAUCCUCCAAGGCUAAAUACUCCUGAUUGACCGAUAGUGAACCAGUACUGUGAAGGAAAGGCGAAAAGAACCCCAGUGAGGGGAGUGAAAUAGAACCUGAAACCGUGUACGUACAAGCAGUGGGAGCCCCAUCACUCAAUCCUAUUGAGUGGUGUAAAAAAUCCACAAAAUCUAACCGCUUGGUUAACCACUUGCGAAGCAAGUGGGUCAACCGAAAAAAGGCAGUGGGAUUGAGUGAUGGGGUGACUGCGUACCUUUUGUAUAAUGGGUCAGCGACUUAUAUUUUGUAGCAAGGUUAACCGAAUAGGGGAGCCGAAGGGAAACCGAGUCUUAACUGGGCGUUGAGUUGCAAGGUAUAGACCCGAAACCCGGUGAUCUAGCCAUGGGCAGGUUGAAGAUUGGGUAACACUAAUUGGAGGACCGAACCGACUAAUGUUGAAAAAUUAGCGGAUGACUUGUGGCUGGGGGUGAAAGGCCAAUCAAACCGGGAGAUAGCUGGUUCUCCCCGAAAUCUAUUUAGGUAGAGCCUUGAGCGGACACCUUCGGGGGUAGAGCACUGUUUCGGCUAGGGGUCCAUCCCGGAUUACCAACCCGAUGCAAACUGCGAAUACCGAAGAGUGAUACUCAGGAGACACACGGUGGGUGCUAACGUCCAUCGUGGAGAGGGAAACAACCCAGACCGCCAGCUAAGGUCCCAAAGUCUAUGUUAAGUGGGAAACGAAGUGGGAAGGCUUAGACAGCUAGGAUGUUGGCUUAGAAGCAGCCACCAUUUAAAGAAAGCGUAAUAGCUCACUAGUCGAGUCGGCCUGCGCGGAAGAUGUAACGGGGCUAAAACAUAGCACCGAAGCUGCGGCAUCAGUGGUAACACUGUUGGGUAGGGGAGCGUUGUGUAAGCGGAUGAAGGUGAAUCGAGAGGUUUGCUGGACGUAUCACAAGUGCGAAUGCUGACAUAAGUAACGAUAAAACGAGUGAAAAACUCGUUCGCCGGAAGACCAAGGGUUCCUGUCCAACGUUAAUCGGGGCAGGGUGAGUCGGCCCCUAAGGCGAGGCUGAAAAGCGUAGUCGAUGGGAAACGGGUUAAUAUUCCCGUACUUGUAAUAGAUGCGAUGUGGGGACGGAGAAGGUUAGGUUAGCAGACUGUUGGAUGUCUGUUUAAGCCGGUAGGUGGGAAGACUAGGCAAAUCCGGUCUUUCAUUCAACACCGAGAAGUGAUGACGAGUUUCUACGGAAACGAAGUAACUGAUACCACGCUUCCAGGAAAAGCCACUAAGCUUCAGUCUAUUAUAAACCGUACUGAAAACCGACACAGGUGGUCAGGUAGAGAAUACUCAGGCGCUUGAGAGAACUCGGGUGAAGGAACUAGGCAAAAUAGCACCGUAACUUCGGGAGAAGGUGCGCCGGCGUAGAUUGUAGKMSYYYRCSKMCGAAGGYYGAACCRGUCGAAGAUACCAGCUGGCUGCAACUGUUUAUUAAAAACACAGCACUCUGCAAACACGAAAGUGGACGUAUAGGGUGUGAUGCCUGCCCGGUGCUGGAAGGUUAAUUGAUGGUGUUAUCGAAAGAGAAGCUCCUGAUCGAAGCCCCAGUAAACGGCGGCCGUAACUAUAACGGUCCUAAGGUAGCGAAAUUCCUUGUCGGGUAAGUUCCGACCUGCACGAAUGGCAUAAUGAUGGCCAGGCUGUCUCCACCCGAGACUCAGUGAAAUUGAAAUCGCCGUGAAGAUGCGGUGUACCCGCGGCUAGACGGAAAGACCCCGUGAACCUUUACUAUAGCUUGACACUGAACAUUGAAUUUUGAUGUGUAGGAUAGGUGGGAGACUAAGAAGUAGGCACGCCAGUGCUUAUGGAGUCGUCCUUGAAAUACCACCCUUUAACGUUUGAUGUUCUAACGAAGAUUGCGGAACGCGGUCUCGGACAGUGUCUGGUGGGUAGUUUGACUGGGGCGGUCUCCUCCCAAAGCGUAACGGAGGAGCACGAAGGUUUGCUAAUCACGGUCGGACAUCGUGAGGUUAGUGCAAUGGUAUAAGCAAGCUUAACUGCGAGACAGACAAGUCGAGCAGGUGCGAAAGCAGGUCAUAGUGAUCCGGUGGUUCUGAAUGGAAGGGCCAUCGCUCAACGGAUAAAAGGUACUCCGGGGAUAACAGGCUGAUACCGCCCAAGAGUUCAUAUCGACGGCGGUGUUUGGCACCUCGAUGUCGGCUCAUCACAUCCUGGGGCUGAAGUAGGUCCCAAGGGUAUGGCUGUUCGCCAUUUAAAGUGGUACGCGAGCUGGGUUUAGAACGUCGUGAGACAGUUCGGUCCCUAUCUGCCGUGGGCGUUGGAGAAUUGAGGGGGGCUGCUCCUAGUACGAGAGGACCGGAGUGGACGCAUCACUGGUGUUCCAGUUGUUUCGCCAGAAGCAUUGCUGGGUAGCUAAAUGCGGAAGAGAUAAGUGCUGAAAGCAUCUAAGCACGAAACUUGCCCCGAGAUGAGUUCUCCCUAGCUAUAAGCUAGUAAGGGUUGUUGGAGACUACGACGUAGAUAGGUCUGGUGUGUAAGCGUUGCGAGACGUUGAGCUAACAGAUACUAAUUGCCCGAGAGGCUUAACUAU